UUUUUUGUUGUUGCGUAGAUUGCAGUAUCAAUCGUUGUGUUCAUGGAAGCUGUACAAACUCUUUAAAUGGAUAUACAUGUCAAUGUGACAGAGGUUAUACUGGAAGUACAUGUAGCAUAGCUAUUGUCAUUGAUCAUUGUGUAUCUGAUCCCUGUAAACAUGGACUAUGUAUCAACUCUCAUUCACCCUUUAGCUGUGUUUCCUAUGC